GACGAACGCUGGCGGCGUGCUUAACACAUGCAAGUCGAACGGAAAGGCCCUGCUUUUGUGGGGUGCUCGAGUGGCGAACGGGUGAGUAACACGUGAGUAACCUGCCCUUGACUUUGGGAUAACUUCAGGAAACUGGGGCUAAUACCGGAUAGGAGCUCCUGCUGCAUGGUGGGGGUUGGAAAGUUUCGGCAGUUGGGGAUGGACUCGCGGCUUAUCAGCUUGUUGGUGGGGUAGUGGCUUACCAAGGCUUUGACGGGUAGCCGGCCUGAGAGGGUGACCGGCCACAUUGGGACUGAGAGACGGCCCAGACGCCUACGGGAGGCAGCAGUGGGGAAUAUUGCACAAUGGGCGGAAGCCUGAUGCAGCAACGCCGCGUGCGGGAUGACGGCCUUCGGGUUGUAAACCGCUGUCGCCUGUGACGAAGCGUGAGUGACGGUAAUGGGUAAAGAAGCACCGGCUAACUACGUG
rnacentral:rRNA from 1 species